GAGCAGCUCUCUCUCCGCCCACUCGGCCACCACGCGGCAGCCGAGCGAGGGCCUCGGGGCAGCUU
rfam:Oryza sativa (indica cultivar-group) chromosome 3, whole genome shotgun sequence.